rnacentral:rRNA from 1 species
GGUUAAGCGACUAAGCGUACACGGUGGAUGCCUAGGCAAUCAGAGGCGAUGAAGGACGUGCUAAUCUGCGAUAAGCGUCGGUAAGGUGAUAUGAACCGUUACAACCGACGAUUUCCGAAUGGGGAAACCCAGUGCAAUCCGUUGCACUAUCGUUUGAUGAAUACAUAGUCAAACGAAGCGAACCGGGGGAACUGAAACA